rnacentral:rRNA from 1 species
UACGUAGGGACCAAGCGUUGUUCGGAUUUACUGGGCGUAAAGGGCGCGUAGGCGGCCUCUGCAAGUCGACUGUGAAAUCUCCGGGCUUAACCCGGAAAGGUCAGCCGAUACUGCAGGGCUAGAGUGCAGAAGGGGCAACUGGAAUUCUCGGUGUAGCGGUGAAAUGCGCAGAUAUCGGGAGGAACACCAGUAGCGAAGGCGGCUCCCUGGGCCAUUCCUGACGCUGAGACGCGAAAGCGUGGGGAGCAAACAGG